CGCACCUUGCGCUCCUUGGUAUUCCGAGGAGCAUGCCUGUUUGAGUGUCGUGUAAUUCUCAACCUAUAAAUCCUUGCGGUUUUGUAGGCUUGGACUUGGAGGCCUUUGCCGGCUUUGCGGUCGGCUCCUCUCAAAUGCAUUAGCUCGAUUCCUUGCGGAUCGGCUCUCGGUGUGAUAAUUAUCUGCGCCGUGACCGUGAAGCGUUUGGCGGGCUUCUAAACCGUCUCUCUGAGACACUUACUUUGACAUCUGACCUCAAAUCAGGUAGGACUACCCGCUGAACUUAA
rnacentral:misc_RNA from 1 species